GAAAAGGGACAUUCAGCGCCUGAUGGAUGAAGGCAUGAUCCAGAUUUGUCAAUCCCGUCAUGAAGAUGAUGAUGUUAAUGUCAUUGUUCCCGUUUUCAAGCAACCAGAGCGGUUGGUGAUGCAGUAUGAUAGUAGCACGAACGUCAGCAAUGGAUCAGUUUCGCCGUUGGUAAUAUGGUUGGCGGGCCCAGUCCAGUAUGCAUCUGAU
rnacentral:lncRNA from 1 species